AGCAGUAGGGAAUCUUCCGCAAUGGACGAAAGUCUGACGGAGCAACGCCGCGUGAGUGAUGAAGGUUUUCGGAUCGUAAAACUCUGUUGUUAGGGAAGAACAAGUCGGGUAGUAACUGACCCGGCCUUGACGGUACCUAACCAGAAAGCCACGGCUAACUACGUGCCAGCAGCCGCGGUAAUACGUAGGUGGCAAGCGUUGUCCGGAAUUAUUGGGCGUAAAGCGCUCGCAGGCGGUCUUUUAAGUCUGAUGUGAAAUCUUGCGGCUUAACCGUAAGCGGUCAUUGGAAACUGGAGGACUUGAGUACAGAAGAGGAGAGUGGAAUUCCACGUGUAGCGGUGAAAUGCGUAGAGAUGUGGAGGAACACCAGUGGCGAAGGCGACUCUCUGGUCUGUAACUGACGCUGAGG
rnacentral:rRNA from 1 species